CUUAGAGAAUACAUCCCGUACCAUGAACACCAGAGUCAUUCUCCAGGCCUCAUGCCUGGAGGGCCGGGUCCUUCAAUUGAAAUUCUUUUACACUGGAGCGGGGAGCCUGCUGGGAAAGAACAAGAGAAGGAGAAAGAGUGGGAGGCUGCAGGAGGCAGGGCCAUCCCAAGAGCCUGGACCCUGAAGGCUCCAGUGUGAGGAUUCCUUUUGGCUUCUUUCCUCUCUGGUCGCUGCCCGGCAAGCACUGUGGCAGAAUGUGUGGCAAGUUCCUGAGGCAGCUGUUGGCUAAGGAGAGCCAGCAUUCCACCCCCGUGGGGCGCUUCCUACUUCCAGUGCUCAUGGGAUUCCGCCUCCUGCUUCUGGUUUCCAGUGGACCUGGGGUCUUCGGCGAUGAUGAGAACGAAUUCAUGUGUCAUUUAGGACAGCCAGGCUGCAAGACCACUUGCUAUGACAUCUUCCGCCCCCUUUCUCCAUUGCGCUUCUGGGCCUUCCAAGUCAUCCUGAUGGCUGUACCCAGUGUCAUUUACAUGGGUUUCACUCUGUAUCAUGUGAUUGGAUACUGGGAGGAACCAGAAAAAGAAAAUAAGGAACAAGAGACACGGAUUUGCAAGGGGGACCAUAGCAAGGAUGUCUUAGGGACUGGAAGCCUCAAGCUUCUCUGGGCCUAUGUGGCACAGCUUGGGGCACGGCUGGUCCUUGAGGGAGCAGCCUUGGGAGUUCAGUACCACCUGUAUGGCUUCAAGAUGCCCAGCACUUUUAUAUGUCGCGAGGAUCCUUGCAUCGGCAGCACGACCUGUUUCCAGUCCCACCCCUCUGAGAAGACCAUUCUCCUCAACUCCAUGUUUGGAAUCAGUGGGGCCUGUCUCUUGGUCACUUCCUUGGAGCUGAUGCUGUUGGGUUUGGGGAGGUUUUGGAGGAUGUACAAGCACAAACUUCCCUUUUUAAAGAACUUCCGAACCUCAAAGAGCUCUGUAAGACGCAAGGACCCCGCUGAUGACUUGUCGGUGGUGGAGACAAAAGAGCCAUUUUGAGAAGCAGGUGAGGACCCUACUGAUACUGACAGCCAUCUGUCCCUGCCUCUGAUGUCUCUGUGUUGGCGACCUCCACCCAGGAGUUCUAAAGUUACCUGGCUUGCCUGCAGAAAACCUUGCAACUGGAUCUUCUUCCAUGCAUCCAGUGAGAUGGCUGGUGAGACGGUACAGUGGAUAAAGGUGCUUGCCACCAAACCUCAUGAUCUGAAAUCCAUCUCCAGAACCCACAUGGAGAAGGGAGGAAACCAACUCCCGCAACAUGUCCUCUGACUACCACAUAUGUGCCACAGGACACACACACAUGAUAAUAAAUAAAAUAAUAAAAUCUCAGAAAACAAAACAAAAACUCCUGCAUCAAUUAGCUGUUACUUCUAACUUCUUAUCUCUCUUGUUUUUCCACUAAACGUAAGCAACCACUUUCUGUUUUAAUGGGUUAUCCUAGUCUGGGAUUUUAUAGAGAUGGAAUCAUGCAACAUGCUUAUUGGUCACUUGUAUAUCUUUGUAGAAAAGACCAAAUUCUUCUUUGCCAAUUAAAAUCAGUUUUUUUGUUUUGUUUUGCAUUGUAA